rnacentral:rRNA from 1 species
GUGAGGAAUAUUGCGCAAUGGAGGCAACUCUGACGCAGCCAUGCCGCGUGCAGGAAGAAGGCGCUACGCGUUGUAAACUGCUUUUAACCGGGAAGAAACCCCAGGACGUGUCCUGGGUUGACGGUACCGGAGGAAUAAGCACCGGCUAACUUCGUGCCAGCAGCCGCGGUAAUACGAAGGGUGCAAGCGUUAUCCGGAUUCAUUGGGUUUAAAGGGUGCGUAGGCGGAGCGUUAAGUCAGUGGUGAAAUCCUGCAGCUUAACUGUAGACUUGCCAUUGAUACUGGCGCUCUUGAGUGCGGUUGAAGUGGGCGGAAUGUGCCGUGUAGCGGUGAAAUGCUUAGAUAUGGCACAGAACACCAAUUGCGAAGGCAGCUCACUAAGGCGAUACUGACGCUGAGGCACGAAAGCGUGGGGAUCGAACAGGAUUAGAUACCCUAGUAGUCC